rnacentral:rRNA from 1 species
AGUGAACGCUGGCGGUAGGCCUAACACAUGCAAGUCGAACGGCAGCACAGUAAGAGCUUGCUCUUACGGGUGGCGAGUGGCGGACGGGUGAGGAAUACAUCGGAAUCUACUUUUUCGUGGGGGAUAACGUAGGGAAACUUACGCUAAUACCGCAUACGACCUACGGGUGAAAGCAGGGGAUCUUCGGACCUUGCGCGAUUGAAUGAGCCGAUGUCGGAUUAGCUAGUUGGCGGGGUAAAGGCCCACCAAGGCGAGGAUCCGUAGCUGGUCGGAGAGGAUGGUCAGCCACACUAGAACUGAGACACGGUCCAGACUCCUACGGGAGGGAGCAGUGGGCAAUAUGGGACAAUGGGCGCAAACCUGACCCAGCCAUACCGCGUGGGUGAAGAAGGCCUUCGGGUUGUAAAGCCCUUUUGUUGGGAAAGAAAAGCAGCAGGUUAAUACCCCGCUGUUCUGACGGUACCCAAAGAAUAAGCACCGGCUAACUUCGUG